UCAGUUGCUUUCAGUUUAUAAUUGCCAUAAAAUAAAGACYUAAAUACCCUAGGGACUUCCUUCUUUGAUUGUGCUAACAAUUAAAAAGAUUUGAAAGACCCGUUUUUUCUCAGUGCUUGGACUAUAAUAUCCAAAGAAGGAAAAAGAUAAUGGAUUCUAUGUAAUAAGAUAAUGGAUCUGUUCUAUUUGUGCGAUCAAUAACAUGCACUCUAGGAAGUAGGCAAUAUCUUUCCUAGUGAUGGCUAUAAACUUAAGCGUAUACCUUAGGGAUUUCAUUGGUAACACUCUACAUGUUAUUCAAUGUUUAUGGGAGCGGAUGUUCGAGGUUAUUUACGCGAUUAUUGUCCAAGUAUUUGAUUCUGGAAAAAUGCUGGUAUUUAGUAUUACAUAACAUUAUUGUUUUCCAUGCCGACUGCGUUAUGUAAAAUACUCGUGCUUGGUUCAUAUUACAUCACCCUUUUGUUGGAAACCUCCAUAUAUACCAUCACUCACAGACUUGAAGAACAAGCAUCACAACGAUAGAAGAUCGUGGGAGACGGUGAAGAAAAAGCCUUUCUCUUCAGUCAAACACCGGGAGAUGAGUUAUCAAAACCUGUCAUCGCAUAGACAAGUUGAAAAGCAACUCGCACAGAACAAUCAUCGACAUGCGAAAACAUCCUCAUGCUCCCAGCAAAUAGUUUGGCASUAAAGCACAAGGCAUGUAAGGAUGAUACUCGUAUGCACUCAAAAGUACUGCUAAACAUACUGACAAUAAAGAACUAUGUUGUAUUGUGUCAAAUGAUUAUUCAACGGUCAUCACAAGAACGAUUUCUCGAAGUAAACAUAGGAAACGUUUUUUUCUGGACUUAUUUUGAAAC